UGAACUAGUUGAGAUUAACCUCC
rnacentral:siRNA from 1 species